UACGGGGGGGGCAAGCGUUGUUCGGAAUUACUGGGCGUAAAGGGCGCGUAGGCGGUUGGAUAAGUCAGCUGUGAAAACCACGGGCUUAACUCGUGGCCUGCAGUUGAGACUGUCUGGCUUGAGUGUGGGAGAGGAGAGUGGAAUUCCUGGUGUAGCGGUGAAAUGCGCAGAUAUCAGGAGGAACACCGGUGGCGAAGGCGGGUCUCUGGGCCGUAACUGACGCUGAGGAGCAAAAGCGUGGGGAGCAAACAGG
rnacentral:rRNA from 1 species